rnacentral:lncRNA from 1 species
GUGUGAAGACCUUCCGGGGAGGUGGCGGCCGAGGCGGCCGUCGCGGGAGCAGACCCGGAGGCGGAGACGGAGACCGAGGAGGUGACAGCGGCGGAGCUGGGAGGUGGGGGUCUUGCUGCGCGGCCAGGCGUCGUCAGGCAGAACUCGGGUGGGCUCCCACACCGUGUCAACAGAGAAGGUGGACGCCGCCGCCGUCGGGGUGGUCGGGGCGCGCGCUUCCGGGAAGAGCAUCGUUCCCUGUUGGCCUGAGAACCCCCGGGCCGGACCCCUCCUCUACCCUGCUCUCUGUGCUCAGAGACUUGGUCUCUCGGAUUCCCUUGGCUGUUUUUGCAGUUCAGAGUCAUUUCCGGGUCUGUGUCCGCUCUCUCCGUUACCUGGUGACUGUUUGCCUUGCAGCGAGUUGACUGUUCUUGCAGGGCUGCUAAGUUUAUGUCGCUGAAAUCCCUGUACGUUCUUUCGGGCUUUACAGCUGAAUUCUCUUCUCCUUUCUUUCUUCCUACCUUGUCUGUCUAUCUUUCCGUGUCUUCCUUCUUUCCUCCUUCCUUUUCUCUUCUUUGGGAAAAACACUGAAAGAUUUUGUUAGUUUACUAUCAUGAGUUGUUUGUUUUGAGUUUUUUUGUUUGGUUGGUUUUUUGUGUUUGAAUGAAUUACAUCUGCGUUACUUCUACAGUAGAUUAUCAGAAUCCCGAAUUUUAGUUAAACAUUUCUGUUACAAGUGAGUUGAGAUAGUUUGAGACUUGGAGGGGAAAGACACUGACAACGUUUGAAAAAUAUUUUAGAUAGCAUUACUUCUGCUUAAAGUCUACUUUAAAUCCUAUUGUUAGCCCUUGAGGGGAAUAGAGUUUCGGAAAUCACCAGUCUCUCACCCUUUUGUGUGAUAAGGUAUGGGAGAAAUCACAAUCUUGUUUUUCUGCUCUUUGAUCUUAUCCCACACCUGGAACCCAGUUGUGAAGACAUGAUUGUUACUAGAGCGUUGCAGGUUUCUGGCGAAGCUGGGACUUUUCCAGGCUGUGCACAUGAUAAGUUUUCCUCCCAUUCCAGCUUUGUAAUAGAAAGCGUACCUCCUUCACA